GUCUCUGUGGCGCAAUUGGUUAGUGUGUUUGGCUGGUCACUAAACGGUUGGUGGUUCAAGCCCACCAAGGGACG
rnacentral:tRNA from 1 species